rnacentral:rRNA from 1 species
UAGUACGAGAGGACCGGGAUGGACGUAGCUCUCGUGUGCCAGUUGUUCCGCCAGGAGCAUGGCUGGUUGGCGACCUACGGAAGGGAUAACCGCUGAAAGCAUCUAAGUGGGAAGCCUGUUUCAAGAUGAGAUCUCCCACCGGGAAACCGGGUAAGGCCCGUGGCAGACCACCACGUUGAUAGGCCGGAGGUGUAAGCACAGUAAUGUGUUCAGCCGACCGGUACUAAUCGGCCGAGGGCUUGGUU